rnacentral:rRNA from 1 species
AUUGAACGCUGGCGGCAGGCCUAACACAUGCAAGUCGAGCGGUAGAGAGAAGCUUGCUUCUCUUGAGAGCGGCGGACGGGUGAGUAAUGCCUAGGAAUCUGCCUGAUAGUGGGGGAUAACGUCCGGAAACGGACGCUAAUACCGCAUACGUCCUACGGGAGAAAGUGGGGGAUCUUCGGACCUCAAGCUAUCAGACGAGCCUAGGUAGGAUUGGCUGGUCGGUGGGGUAAAGGCUCACCAAGGCCACGAUCCGUAACUGGUCUGAGAGGAUGAUCAGUCACACUGGAACUGAGACACGGUCCAGACUCCUACGGGAGGCAGCAGUGGGGAAUAUUGGACAAUGGGCGAAAGCCUGAUCCAGCCAUGCCGCGUGUGUGAAGAAGGUCUUCGGAUUGUAAAGCACUUUAAGUUGGGAGGAAGGGUCGUUACCUAAUCCGUGGCGAUUUUGACGUUACCGACAGAAUAAGCACCGGCUAACUCUGUGCCAGCCGCCGCCGUAAGAC